GACUAAGCGUACACGGUGGAUGCCCUGGCAGUCAGAGGCGAUGAAGGACGUGCUAAUCUGCGAAAAGCGUCGGUAAGGUGAUAUGAACCGUUACAGCCGGCGAUGUCCGAAUGGGGAAACCCUGUGUGAUUCGUCACACUAUCGUUAACUGAAUACAUAGGUUAACGAGGCGAACCGGGGGAACUGAAACAUCUAAGUACCCCGAGGAAAAGAAAUCAACCGA
rnacentral:rRNA from 1 species